AGAUUGAACGCUGGCGGCAUGCCUAACACAUGCAAGUCGAACGGCAGCGCGGGUAGCAAUACCUGGCGGCGAGUGGCGGACGGGUGAGGAAUACAUCGGAAUCUACCCAGUCGUGGGGGAUAACGCAUCGAAAGGUGCGCUAAUACCGCAUACGACGGAGACGUGAAAGCGGAGGACCGUAAGGCUUCGCGCGAUUGGAUGAGCCGAUGUCGGAUUAGCUAGUUGGCGGGUAAAAGCCCACCAAGGCGACGAUCCGUAGCUGGUCUGAGAGGAUGAUCAGCCACACUGGGACUGAGACACGGCCCAGACUCCGUACGGGAGCAGCAGUGGGAAUAUGGACAUGGGCGCAAGCCUGAUCCGAGCAAUGCCGCGUGUGUAGAAGACGGCUUGGUAGUAAGCUACUUUAGUACGGAGACG
rnacentral:rRNA from 1 species